GAAAGCAUCUAAGCAUGAAGCCCCCCUCAAGAUGAGAUUUCCCAUAGCGUAAGCUAGUAAGAUCCCUGAACGAUGAUCAGGUUGAUAGGUUCGAGGUGGAAGCAUGGUGACAUGUGGAGCUGACGAAUACUAAUAGAUCGAGGACUUAACCAU
rnacentral:rRNA from 1 species